AAUUGACGGGAACCCGCACAAGCGGUGGAGUAUGUUGUUUAAUUCGAAGAUACACGAAGAACCUUACCAGGUCUUGACAUACCAUUGACAGGUGUAGAGAUACACUCUCCUUCGGGCAAUGGAUACAGGUGGUGCAUGGUUGUCGUCAGCUCGUGCCGUGAGGUGUUGGGUUUAAGUCCCGCAACGAGCGCAACCCUCAUUGUUAGUUACUACCAUUCAGUUGAGGACUCUAAUGAGACUGCCAACGACAAGUUGAGGAAGGUGGGGAUGACGUCAAAUCAUCAUGCCCUUUAUGACCUGGGCUACAAACGUACUACAAUGGCCAAUACAAAGAGAUGCGAAGCGGUGACGUGAAGCGAACCUCAGAAAGUUGGUCUCAGUUCAGAUUGAAGUCUGCAACUCGACUUCAUGAAGGCGGAAUCGCUAGUAAUCGCGGAUCAGCAGACCGCGGUGAAUACGUUCCCGGGUUU
rnacentral:rRNA from 1 species